CCAAAGGCUCUUUUCAGAGCCACCUACAGUUUCGUAUGAAAUAGCU
rfam:Mesocricetus auratus contig191428, whole genome shotgun sequence.